rnacentral:rRNA from 1 species
ACAGGUGCUGCAUGGCUGUCGUCAGCUCGUGUCGUGAGAUGUUCGGUUAAGUCCGCUAACGAGCGCAACCCUCGUCGUGUGUUAUACGUGUCACACGAUACUGCCGGUAUCAAGCCGGAGGAAGUGGGAUGAUGUCAAGUCAGCAUGGCCUUUAUAUCCUGGGCUACACACACGCUACAAUGGCAGAUACAAUAGGUUGCGAAACCGCGAGGUGGAGCCAAUCCUCAAAGUCUGUCUCAGUUCAGAUUGUAGGCUGCAACUCGCCUGCAUGAAGUUGGAGUUGCUAGUAAACGCAGGUCAGCUAUACUGCGUUGAAUACGUUCCCGGGUUU